UCAUGGAUCAGUGAACAAGGUUAAGUUUUAGUGGUCAAAUCCAUAUCUCAGAUACUAUAAGCAAUAGGUCUAGUAUAUUCAGUGUAUGGAAGGACUGUAAGUUGUACGUGUCCAACUGGCAGGUGUCAUUUGACCUUGACCUCAUUUUCAUGGUUCAGUGGUUAUAGUUAAGUUUUUGUGUUUUGGUCUAUUUUUCUCAUACUUUAUGCAAUAGAUCUACUAUAUUUGGUGUUUGGAAUGAUUGUAAGGUGUACAUGUCUAGCUGGCAGGGGUCAUAAUACCUUGACCUCAUUUUUAUGGUUCAGUGGUCAAAGUUAAGUUUUUGAGUUUUGGUCUUAUUUUCUAAUAAUAUAUAUAUACAAUACAAUAUAUUUGGUGUAUGGAAAUAUUUUAUGGUCUAUAUGUCAGUCACACAGAUUUAUUUGACCUUGACCUCAUUUUCAUAGUUCAUUGCUCAGUGUUGAGUUUUUGUGUUUUUACCUGUUUUUCUUAAACUACAUGUAUAAGCAAUAGGUCAACUAUAUUUGUUGAAUGGAAGAAUUUUUAGCUGUACAUGCCUGAACAGCAUGAUGUACAGCAUGGUUCAUUUGACCAUGACCUCAUUUUCAUGGUUCAUUGGUCAAUGUUUAGUUUUCUUGGUUAAUGUUAAGUUUAUGUGACAGAUGUAAUUAAGCUUUAUAUUUAGGACUAUCAAAAUAAUAUCAAUGAUAAGUAAAGAAGGCGAGACAUUUCAGUGUGUGCAUUCUUGUUUUAUGUAUGGAUGAAUAUUGCUUUAUUGUAAAUAAGGGAAAUGACG
rnacentral:lncRNA from 1 species